GGAGCGAACAGGAUUAGAUACCCCUGGUAGUCCACGCCGUAAACGGUGGGCCCUAGAUGUGGGAAUUUUUCUACGGUUUCCGUGUCGCAGCUAACGCAUUAAGUGCCCCGCCUGGGGAGUACGGUCGCAAGGCUAAAACUCAAAGGAAUUGACGGGGGCCCGCACAAGCGGCGGAGCAUGCGGAUUAAUUCGAUGCAACGCGAAGAACCUUACCAAGGCUUGACAUAUGCCAGACAGGGUCAGAGAUGGCUUUUCCCUCUUUGAGGGCUGGUAUACAGGUGGUGCAUGGUUGUCGUCAGCUCGUGUCGUGAGAUGUUGGGUUAAGUCCCGCAACGAGCGCAACCCUUGUCCUAUGUUGCCAGCAUGUUAUGAUGGGGACUCAUAGGAGACUGCCGUGGUUAACACGGAGGAAGGUGGGGAUGACGUCAAAUCAUCAUGCCCCUUAUGUCUUGGGCUUCACGCGUGCUACAAUGGCCGGUACAAUGGGUUGCGAUGCUGUAAGGUGGAGCUAAUCCCAAAAAGCUGGUCUCAGUUCGGAUUGGGGUCUGCAACUCGACCCCAUGAAGUCGGAGUCGCUAGUAAUCGCAGAUCAGCAAUGCUGCGGUGAAUACGUUCCCGGGCCUUGUACACACCGCCCGUCAAGUCACGAAAGUUGGUAACAC
rnacentral:rRNA from 1 species